AAAUGCGAUAAGUAGUGUGAAUUGCAGAAUUCAGUGAAUCAUCGAAUCUUUGAACGCACCUUGCGCUCCUUGGUAUUCCUUGGAGCAUGCCUGUUUGAGUAUCAUGAAAUCUUCAAAGUAAAUCUUUUGUUAACUCAAUUGGUUUCUACUUUGGUAUUGGAGGUCUUUGCAGCUUCACACCUGCUCCUCUUUGUUCAUUAGCUGGAUCUCAGUGUUAUGCUUGGUUCCACUCGGCGUGAUAAGUUAUCUAUCGCUGAGGACACUGUAAAAGGUGGCCAAGGUAAAUGCAGAUGAACCGCUUCUAAUAGUCCAUUGACUUGGACAAUACUUUUAUGAUCUGAUCUCAAAUCAGGUAGGACUACCCGCUGAACUUAAGC
rnacentral:misc_RNA from 1 species